AAGACUUUAAGUUAUAUAAACUAUUAACCUUCAAAGUUUAAAAUAUCAAUUAAGAUAAGCCUUA
rnacentral:tRNA from 1 species